rnacentral:rRNA from 1 species
CAGUAGCCACGGUAAUACGGAGGGUGCAAGCGUUAAUCGGAAUUACUGGGCGUAAAGCGCACGCAGGCGGUUUGUUAAGUCAGAUGUGAAAUCCCCGAGCUUAACUUGGGAACUGCAUUUGAAACUGGCAAGCUAGAGUCUUGUAGAGGGGGGUAGAAUUCCAGGUGUAGCAGUGAAAUGCGUAGAGAUGUGGAGGAAUACCGAUGGCGAAGGCAGCCCCCUGGGCCAAUACUGACGCUCAUGCACGAAAGCGUGGGGAGCAAACAGGAUUAGAUACCCCUGUAGUCCCUGUCUCUUAUAA